AACCAAUCACGUCCACCUCAUCUGUAAUAUAAAAAACAAAAUGGCGUUAACGAUUAAAUGAAAGAGAUAUUUCGAUCGAUUAUGAAAAAAAAAGAAAAGAAAAAAAGAAACAACAAAAAAAUUUAUAAUUAAUACGAUGAUGCAUGGUCACCCUUAACGUCGAUGAGAAAGAGAAAGAAAGAGAGAAAGAGAGAGAGAGAAAGAGAGAAAGAUCUUCGACAAAACCGGGCCGAUUUUCCUAUGCAUAUUCCAUCCUCGACGAAGGGUAAGUCGAUGAUAUUCACAAAUUAUCGAUAGAAGCGUAUGACUUUAAAGUAGUAAACCGGCUCCAGAGAUCUAUUUCGAUCGUUAGUACAAGGGUUGCCAUUGGUUCCCUGCCAAAUACUAUAAUUAGCAAUAUACUUGGCGUUACAACACCAAGUCGUACAUAUGCGACGACAUUAUUGAAGCCACGAGAUUUCCAUUCCUUAAUAAUUUCGAUCGGUCGAGUUUCGUUCCAUCUAACCGAAUUGAAUGCUGAACUGAAUGGAUAGGAGGAAAAGUGUUGAAUUAUAAAAGUUAGUUGAAAAAUCGAAGGACUGUGAAAAAACGAUAAGAAACCACACACGUUGCUACGGACAAGUGUGUCGUAAAAGUAAAAUACAACGAGGCUUUCUAAGAACAAUAAAUAGAGAGUAUCUCACGAUCGAAGAACUCUGUAAUAAAUCGUGUGAAUUUUCGUGUAAAAUACAGAGACGGAAAAUAGUGAAAGAAAGAUAGAGAGAUAGAGAAAAAGAGAGAAAGAGAGAGAGAGAGAGAAUGUGAGAGGGUAUGCAAGCUCGUAAAACAAACGAAUCGAGCAACGACAAUUUAAAAGCCCACAUCGAUUUUAGGCGGCACGUGCGUGUCAAGUAUGUACGUAGAUACGAAGCGAUAUCAUUGAUGCCCUCGAACCAAAGUUAUUCUGGAGAUUGGAACGAGUCCAGAAAUUGUGUCUUUUUCUUCCUCUUUCUCUCUCUCUCUCUCUCUCUCUUUCUCUUUAUCUCUCUAUCUUUUCGAUCCUUAUCCCAUUCCUUUUCGUCUCGUAUAUCAUGAGAGGUAAUAUAAGGACUUGCUUGCUUUCAAAUUUCGCACCUUUCGUUCUUUUAAUCUCUUCGGAUAUA